AACAUUAAAACACCGGUUCCCGUACGAUCAACGAAGUUAAGCAACGUCGAGCCAGGCCAGUACCUUGAUGGAUGACCGCUUGGGAGUGCCAGGUGAUGUAAG